AUCGGGAUUAUUUCUUGCGUGCCAUUAAAAAUUUGUAGAUUCGGAACAGUGACAUAGCUGACGCUCGUAAGAGUCUGGAGACAGUCCCACUGCUGCAACAGAUGAAACAGAUGCACUGAUUACGCCGUUCGUUUCAAGAAAUUGGCCAAUACUUCGAUCGGAUGAUGGCUCGAAAUUCUAUUUGCAUGAUGAAUACCCGGAAUUUCUUCGAACGGUGCAAUUGGCACUUGUUGCUGCAGUCUACAGGAUUUCUGUGCGACUCUUGAAAAACGGAAAGCACAAGAACAGAUAGUUGAAGAAUGGCCUGUUCCGUGAAAUCUGACACAUGUUCCGAUUUAGCAAACAUCGUGAGAACGGCAUUUACGCAAUAAGUGACAACGAUCGAAUGGAUUACGCGACUGGUGGCUGGAAUGAAACAUCCGCUUCUUCGGCUCAACAGAAAACUCAGGAUACUCUCGAUCCAUCAGACGGAUGUGUUUAACCGUCGGUUUUCGCACAAUGUCAAGUAAGUUAUCCCACCGUCAUGUACUCUCAAAAUCAUCCAGCACAGCAGACUCGCCAUGGCGCAGCGGAACACCAGUCAACCUGCAUAGCCAUCUAAACAGCUGCAGAAGCAUGUCAACUGGAACGACCGGAAGCAUGGAUAGCAGCAGUUCCGGAUGACUUUCGUCCGGCUACCAUCUCAAAAACGGAACGGUUCCAUCCGCAUCCGAAGUCCAUUUUUAAACCAGGUUCAAAUCUAGAACUCGCUGUCGUAUCAAUGGUUGGCCUCUCAAGUUAAUUCAUUUAAGUACCUCACAGUUUUUAACAAGCAAUCAUCCAAAUUAAUUGAAGCACUCAGCUAGAAAACUGUUCAGUCUCGAGUACCCAUCAAGAUGUUUUUUUUGCAAAUUAGGCUCCAGUAAUGGAAUUGUUACUUUGAAAAACUAUUUGCCGGAUAUAUUAACAGUUUCAUAUACUAUCGUAUGGUUAUGGCAACAUGAUGUACUCUGUUUACUUAACUGACCCUGUUUAAAUGUCCCUGAGCUACUACUAAGGUGGCUAGAGUUUUCAAUAAGAUCGGGUACAAAUCAAAAUCACGAUAAUUUUUAAUUAACUCGUCAGAGUUAAUAAUAUUUUUUUCUAAUUGACAGGCAAUUCAUGAUGAUCUAUUAAUUGCUUUGAAAAUGUUGAAUAUAACAAAUUUCAGACUUUUCUCAAGUUCAUUAUAUGCGGCAUGCUCCUCUGUUAUUGAUAUUUCGUCCCCUAAACACGAUAUCGAUUUUUGAUACAGUCAAAAUUGGUUCUCGGUACUUAAGUUUGUUUUUCGGGAACCAAUUAAUUAAGCAUUUUUUUUUAAAGAAGAUAGAAAUAAAAAAAAUCAAUUAGCAUUGCAAAAGUAUGCGUAACUGUUAACUGUACAGUUAGGUUGUAAAAAAUUGUAAACAUUGGGGCUUAUUCUGCGACGCGAGUGACGUGACUCACGAAAUUUCACUUCUUUGUCCUGACUACAGAAAAAGCUUUAGCAAAGAAAUUUGUGUAUCGAUAAGU